AAGAACUGAUGGUGAUGACCAAGUCAAUUGUCAGCUUUCAAAACUGACAUGUAAGACUUUUUCAUUUAUUACUGGCCCUUUAAGUGAACUUCAUGAUUUUCUCCUCUAGUGGCCUCCCUAGCCACUAAUCUAUUAACUCACCUUAAUAACCUCACCUGGAUUAACUAAUUAGGAGGCUUGAUAAGUCUACUCCCGGCACACAACAGUGCCUUGACAUUGAAAGUCUAUGCUCUGAUAAAGAAUCGCUGUUCCUGGUAAUAUCCUGUAUUUUAGCUACAUUAUUUCAUUCUGCAUUUCCUCAUACUGAAAGGCACUAACCUGCAUUACUUCAUCCUGAACUUGCCUGAAUUACAUCUUACCGAAAGACUUUCCUUAUCAGCUUCCAAGAAUCCUGAUUUGUGGCGUAUUGCUUUCAUUAAGGAAUCUUAACUGCUUCAAUUGCUGCAUCACUGCAUGAUCUCGUAAGCAACCUGCAUUAUAUUAUUUUGGAAUAUACCUACCUGUUUCAACCUCUGCAACUCUGCAUGAUCCUGUAUUAACCUAUAACUAGCUGCAUUGCAAAGUAUCCUGGAAAUCCUUAACUACUUGGUAUAACUUCAAGCCUGCUUGUAUACAAAAGACUUUAUUCAUUUACUUUCUAAAGAUCUUGUUUGUGGCAUAUCGCCUAAACCCUGAUUUUUC